GGUUGAUCCAGAUAUCAGCCUUUCUCUUAAACAGAACCCUGCUUCUUAUACGCAAGUUUUGAAUGCUUCCUCUAGAGGGUUGCACAGAAUGAGAACUGUAUUCAGUUAUCUUCCCAUAUCCAUGGCAACUGAACCAGCUGCAGAUGACUCAAUACUUUCACUGCUAAGGGUUUUUUGGCCCAUCUUGGAGAAAUUUUUUGGCUCUGAGCAUAUGGAGAAUGGGAAUUUAUCCGUAGCAGCUUGCUGAGCUCUUUCACUAGCUGUUCGAUCUUCAGGUUUACCCACUUGGACACAUUUGUUGACAGUUCAUCGGUUCCCCUUGUGAUAAAUAUAGUUUUUUAAUGUGCAGGUCAGCAUUUUGUGACAUUACUGCCCAAGGUGCUGGACUGGCUUUCAAAAAAUUUUGUUUUAUUCCAAAGUCAUGAAUGCUAUAUAAGAAUCGCUUCCAUUGUCAUUGAAGAAUUUGGUCAUCUAGAGGAGUACGGACCUUUAUUUGUCACUUCUGACGACAUUCCAGACAUUGAUAAGAAAAAAAUGGUAUGUUGAUUGGAGCAACUACAUCAAUCGGAUUAAUCAUGUAAGCCUCUCUUAAACUUUUUCAUUUUCUUGUAAACGGGUCUAAUUAAUACUUGUCUUUGCUAUGUUUCUCUCAAUAUGAUUCUUAUUUUGUACAGCUUUUUUUUAUUGGUUUCAAUGUAUAAUUUUUGGUCUUCUCUUUUUCUCAAAAAUUAGAAAAAUAGUACUGUUUUCAAAUUGUAAAGAAUGGAUAGGGUGAAUGAAACAGAGAGUGAAAGUUACAACAACAUAUAGAAGCAAAGGUGCAGACCAUUUUUUGCUUUCGUGUCAUGAUUGGUGUAGAGGCUUUGAUGGAAUUAUUAAAGUCUGGGAUGUAUCUAGCAAAAAUUGGACUGGAUAACCUAGAAGAAGCUUUACUACUUCAGGCUGAUAUGAUGGAUCUUAAAGCACGAAUUCAUGGGCCUGCUCAAGCAUAUGUGAUGGAAGCGAGACUUGACGAAGGACGGGGUCCAUUAGUAACUACUAUAGUGAAGGCAGGGACUCUUUUCAAUUUGUUGUUUUAAAAUUUUGGUUUAAAAUAGUGGAAGUGGUCCAAGGUGAUGCUAGGAACGUGUUGUGCAUUUGUAUUGGUUUUGGGAAGCCAAGGCUACAGAGUUAUCAAAAGUAUUUUAAUGAAGUUAAACCAUUGGAAGCAGAGAGAUUCAAGGCGUUUCGCAUCCAGUGGACACAGUAUUAUCUAAAAGUUAGAAAUCAAACAUAGGAUGUUAGACAACUAUGUAACUUUAGG